rnacentral:rRNA from 1 species
GGCGAACGCUGGCGGCGUGCCUAAUACAUGCAAGUAGAACGCACAGUUUAUACCGUAGCUUGCUACACCAUAGACUGUGAGUUGCGAACGGGUGAGUAACGCGUAGGUAACCUGCCUGGUAGCGGGGGAUAACUAUUGGAAACGAUAGCUAAUACCGCAUAAUAUUAAUUAUUGCAUGAUAAUUAAUUGAAAGGUGCAAUUGCACCACUACCAGAUGGACCUGCGUUGUAUUAGCUAGUAGGUGAGGUAACGGCUCACCUAGGCGACGAUACAUAGCCGACCUGAGAGGGUGAUCGGCCACACUGGGACUGAGACACGGCCCAGACUCCUACGGGAGGCAGCAGUAGGGAAUCUUCGGCAAUGGACGAAAGUCUGACCGAGCAACGCCGCGUGAGUGAAGAAGGUUUUCGGAUCGUAAAGCUCUGUUGUAAGAGAAGAACGGGUGUGAGAGUGGAAAGUUCACACUGUGACGGUAUCUUACCAGAAAGGGACGGCUAACUACGUG